rnacentral:rRNA from 1 species
GACUCCGUGAAGCUGGAUUCGCUAGUAACCGCGCAUCAGCCAUGGCGCGGUGAAUACGCUCCCGGGCCUUGUACACACCGCCCGUCAAGCCAUGGAAGCCGGGGGCGCUUGAAGUGCGUUGCCGCAAGGCGCGCCCUAGAGCGAAACCGGUGACUGGGGCUAAGUCGUAACAAGGUAAC